UCGACUGUCCCACAUAUGGAUUGAAGGAUUUUUCUCGUAUGGACAAUUUUGCCACUAGAAGUUGAUCGAAAUUACCUGCUAUUACUAAUUGGAUACUCUUUUGAUGCCUCUAGGUGAAGCCACCUAAAAUCCUAGGUGGACACUAUAGAAAAAGAGAGAAAUUCUAAAAAUUCUCAAAAAUGCAAAACAUCUGGCCAUUAAUCGGUAGACUCAAAUCAUCAUGGCCAUUAAAUCUAUUAUGUUUUCUAAAAAAAUUACCCACCUAUGCCAUUAUGAAAAUAGUCUAAACUAACCCCUAAAUCUAUAUCUAAAUUACCCACUUCUACCGUUAUCUAAAGUAAACUAAAGUAUAAUCUCCUAAUCUUCAUCGAAAUUACCUACUUUUGCCAUUAUAAAAAUAGUUUUAAAUAAUCCCCUAAAUUUGCUACUAAAUUGUCCAACACUAAUACUUGAAAAAUAACUUAAAAUAACCCCUAAAUUUGUAUCUAUAUUACCC
rnacentral:lncRNA from 1 species